rnacentral:rRNA from 1 species
CACGUAGGGCGCGAGCGUGUCCGGAAUUAUUGGGCGUAAAGAGCUCGUAGGCGGCCUGUUGCGUCCGCUGUGAAAGCCCGGGGCUUAACCCCGGGUCGCAGUGGAUACGGGCAGGCUAGAGGUAGGUAGGGGAGAAUGGAAUUCCCGGUGUAGCGGUGAAAUGCGCAGAUAUCGGGAGGAACACCGGUGGCGAAGGCGGUUCUCUGGGCCUUACCUGACGCUGAGGAGCGAAAGCGUGGGGAGCGAACAGG